rnacentral:rRNA from 1 species
GAUGAACGCUAGCGGCAGGCUUAAUACAUGCAAGUCGAGGGGCAGCAGUUUUGUAGCAAUACAGAAGCUGGCGACCGGCAAACGGGUGCGGAACACGUACGCAACCUUCCUUUAACUGGAAGAUAGCCCACCGAAAGGUGGAUUAAUACUCCAUAACAUAUUGAAGAGGCAUCCCUUUGAUAUUAAAGCUCCGGCGGUUAAAGAUGGGCGUGCGUCUGAUUAGGUAGUUGGCGGGGUAACGGCCCUCCAAGCCUUCGAUCAGUAGCUGAUGUGAGAGCAUGGUAAGCCACACGGGCACUGAGACACGGGCCCGACUACUACGGGAGGCAGCAGUAAGGAAUAUUGGUCAAUGGACGCAAGUCUGAACCAGCCAUGCCGCGUGGAGGAUGAAGGCCCUCUGGGUUGUAAACUUCUUUUCUUUGGGACGAAACCCCUGUUUCUACGGGGACUGACGGUACCAGAGGAAUAAGCACCGGCUAACUCCGUGCCAGCAGCCGCCGUAA